UACGAAGGGGGCUAGCGUUGUUCGGAUUUACUGGGCGUAAAGCGCACGUAGGCGGAUCGAUCAGUCAGGGGUGAAAUCCCAGAGCUCAACUCUGGAACUGCCUUUGAUACUGUCGAUCUGGAGUAUGGAAGAGGUGAGUGGAAUUCCGAGUGUAGAGGUGAAAUUCGUAGAUAUUCGGAGGAACACCAGUGGCGAAGGCGGCUCACUGGUCCAUUACUGACGCUGAGGUGCGAAGCGUGGGGAGCAAAGCAGG
rnacentral:rRNA from 1 species